CCUGUAUACGAAGCGACAGCUGUACCUGUAAAACAUACAAUACUACAAACAGUAGUAUAGAGCUGCUAGAGAAAACAAAAGCUAAACAAAUUGAGUUUCAUAUAUAUAGCUCAAAUCCAAAAUACAGAGUUACUCGCACUGGCGAGUUAGGUAAACUAUAUACAUAAACUCGAAACAAAACAUCUACCUGCAGUAGGGGUGCCUCUAACUCUGCUCGUCAGGUAGGGCUCUAACUCGCGACGCUCUUGCCUCGAUCCUGAUCCGCAGAAGGCGCAGCAGCCGAAACCUGUGGCUCUGCAAAACAUAGGUAACAACUGGGCGUGAGAACUACUGUAAAAACAAGUAGUCCUCAGUGGGUACCGCCCAAAACAACAUCGGUCACCCACUAAGUCUACAGAAGGGAGCAAGAAUAGUAGGAAAAGCAGGAAGUACGCUCUACCGCUAUCAAUCACUACACUAUCAUGCUCUACACUAACCAACUGUAGAAAAUGUCAAUCUGACCCAAUCCAAUCGGGACUAUAAACAUACCCGUCCCUGGGACUGUGAACACACCCGUCCCUGCCCCGUUGCGACUAUCCAGCUACCUCCACACCAACUGGUCCGUGGAGAGCAAGUCCAACUGGCAUGAGCGACACCAACGCGAAAGCACAAGCCUGACUCCGGAGUGGCACUCGUGGGCGCUACCCAACCGAGUAUGCAGCGUAUCUCUGUCGAGCUCAAACAGGCUCCAACUAGCCAAAGUCAAGUAAUCGACUCAAAAUGGUCUAACAACCAACAGGUAAGUGCCCUCGGCACAAUCUGACGCCCAAAAAGGCGAUACGGGUCCACCGUCAACUCUGACGGCACCCAACAGUCCGAAACAACCUGAACGACCCUGUAAAAAUCCACUCGGCGAACGAGCACGAGUGUAAAUACAUUCUAAACUACCUGGAGUACUCGUCUCGAAUAACUGCGACAGUACAAUUUUCUAACGGCUCCUAGAGCUAAAUCAGGUAGUUAAAACUGGUGACAGGUCCAAAUCGUAGGUUUUCUCCUAAUUCAAUUUCCAAGUCCAAUAUGUAUGAUCUACUUAAUUUAUAAAAUAUGCUCCAAAAUUCAGAUUUCACAAUCUACAUAUAGUCCAUGAAUUUGAGCUAAAUUAAUGACCGAAAUCAAGAUCUAUACAUGUCGACCAAUAAUAACUUAGGAGUAAAGCCGAUGUAACCCACCUCGAAAGCUAAAUCCAAUCCGGCGCGACGUCGAGAAUGGCGGAAAUAGACCCUUGCCAAGCCUCCUCACAACACUACGAGCCCAACCGUACCUUCGAACGGCUUCGCGGCGCAUCGUCGGCGUCGAAAUCGAGCUCCGCGGCACAACCCGAACUCCUCCUUACUUCGGCCGAAUGGAGAAAGAGAGAAGAAGUAAAAAUGAAAAUAAAAAAACUAUACACCUCAGUUAAAACUCAAUUGAUAAGGAUGCAUGAGGUUAGAGUUACACGUGGCAUCCUUAUCCACUACUAGUCUACCAACUCAAAUAAAAACAAAAUUAAGGAUACUACAUCCUCCCCUACUACAAAAAAGUUUCGUCCUCGAAACUUAACACAUACCUCAACACGGGGCAACGAACAGGUCGCGGUAAGACUCCCUCAUCACCUUCUCAGGCUCCCAAGUCGCCUCCCGCUCCUCGUGAUUGCUCCACUGCACUUUCACGUACGGAAUGAUCCGGUUGUGCAAUUCUUUCGUCUCACGAGCAAGAAUUCGCACCGGUCGCUCCUCGUACCUCAAGUCCUCACCAAUCUCUAGUGGGGUGAAGUCAAUCACAUGAGACGGAUCGAAAACAUACUUUCUUAGCGCCGAGACGUGGAAUACAUCAUGAAUGCCAGCUAGUCGCGGGGAUAGAGCUAUCCUGUAAGCCACCGGUCCGAUAUUCUCCAAUACCUCGAAAGGGCCAACAAACCGUGGACUAAGCUUUCCACGUACUCCAAAAUGACGUAUCCCUCUAGACGGCGAGACUUUGAGAAAAAUAUGAUCUCCAACCUGAAACUCCAAGUCUCGUCUCCUGGUAUCGGCGUAGCUCCUCUGUCGGCUCUGUGCUGUCAAAAGGUGUCGUCGAACGACUCUCACCUUUUCUUCAGCCUCAAGUAGAAUCUCUGGUCCAAAUGUCCUCCGCUCACCCACAUCACUCCAAAAUAGGGGGGAUCGACAUUUGCGUCCAUACAACGCCUCAAACGGAGCCAUUUGAAUGCUCGCUUGAUAGCUGUUGUUGUACGCAAACUCAACAAGUCUCAAAUGUCGAUACCACCCUCCUCCAAAGUCCAGGACACAUGCCCUCAGCAUGUCCUCUAGAGUCUGAAUGGUCCGCUCUGACUGACCAUCUGUCUGUGGGUGGAAUGUUGUGCUGAAAUGUAGCUGUGUACCCAAGGCUGUCUGAAGGCUCCUCCAAAACUGGGAUACGAACCUCGGGUCUCUAUCUGAUACAAUCGACACUAGCACGCCGUGCAGCCUAACGAUCUCAUCCAAGUAUAGCUGCGCGAGUCUCUCCCUGGACCAGGUAGUCUGAACCGGUAGGAAGUGAGCAGACUUGGUCAGUCUGUCCACUAUCACCCAAAUCGCGUCGUAGCCACCCUGCGCUCUAGGCAAUCCAACGACGAAGUCCAUCGUGAUGUGCUCCCACUUCCACUCGGGAACUGGCAGACUCUGAAGCUUGCCAGCAGGCACCUGAUGCUCGGCCUUCACCUGUUGGCAAGUCAAACACUGAGCCACAAAUCUGCCAAUGUCCCUCUUCAUUCCAGGCCACCAAAACUGUGCCUUAAGAUCCUUAUACAUCUUGGUUCCCCCAGGGUGAACCGUAUAAGGGGAACAAUGAGCCUCUCUCAGAAUAUCCGCUCGAAUCUCCGGAUCCACAGGCACACACAGUCGGUCCCUGUACCGUAGUACUCCCGAACUGUCCAAAGCAAAUCCCUCAGCCUGCCCCCUGUCUAACUGCUCUCUAAUCCUCAACAAGUACGGAUCUCCACUUUGUUUCUCUCGGAUUCUAUCCAACAGAGUGGGCUGUAAUACUAGAGACGUCAGCCUCGCCGUAAACCCAGGGGGUACUAUCUCGAGUCCCAGCCGCUGUAACUCCUCGAGUAGGGGUCUCUCCUCAGUAAUCCUCAAACUCAGGCUCUGCACUGACUUCCUGCUCAACGCAUCUGCCACCACAUUCGCCCUGCCGGGAUGAUACUGAAUACUAAUGUCAUAGUCCUUCAGUAACUCCAACCACCGGCGCUGCCUCAGAUUCAGCUCCUUCUGUGUGAACAGAUACUUGAGACUUUGAUGAUCGGUGAAAACCUCGCAGUGCUCGCCGUACAGGUAAUGCCGCCAGAGCUUCAAAGCAAAAACCACCGCGGCAAGCUCCAAGUCAUGCGUAGGGUAAUUCUUCUCAAAAUCCUUUAAUUGCCGUGAAGCAUAAACAAUCACCCUACCAUGCUGCAUCAGCACGCAACCAAGUCCACUGUGCGAUGCAUCACUGUAGAUCACAAAUCCAUCCCCCAUCACCGGAAGGGCAAGGAUAGGAGCUGAUGUCAACCUCAGUCUCAACUCGUCAAAGCUCCUCUGACAGUCAUCGCUCCAAACAAAACGAAUCCCCUUUCGCGUCAAGCGUGUGAGGGGUGUGGAAAGUUUCGCAAAGCCUUCCACAAACCGACGGUAAUAUCCUGCCAGUCCCAGGAAGCUCCGUACCUCAGUCACCGUCGUCGGUCUAGGCCAAUCUCGAAUCGCCUCAAUCUUCUUCGGGUCCACUGCUACGCCCUCGGCUGAAAUCACGUGGCCCAAGAAAGCAACCUCCCGAAGCCAGAACUCGCACUUCUUCAACUUGGCAUACAGCUUCUUCUUUCGCAGAAGCUGUAGCACAAUCCUCAAGUGCUCCUCAUGCUCAGCAUCACUCCGGGAGUAUAUCAGGAUGUCGUCGAUGAAGACUACCACAAAUCUAUCCAAGAACGGCUUGAACACUCUGUUCCUCAAAUCCAUGAAUGCGGCAGGGGUAUUUGUCAAUCCAAAAGGCAUUACUGUAAACUCAUAAUGCCCGUACCAAGUCCGAAAAGCCGUCUUGGGAACAUCCUCGGCCCUCACCCUCAGCUGGUGGUAACCUGACUAGAGAUCAAUCUUCGAGAAGACGAAGGAUCCCUGCAACUGAUCAAAUAAAUCAUCAAUGCGCGGCAGUGGAUACUUAUUCUUGAUGGUCACUUUAUUCAGCUCCCGGUAAUCCACACAUAACCUGAGUGAACCAUCCUUCUUCUUUACAAAUAGCACUGGCGCUCCCCAAGGCGACACACUGGGUCUCACAAACCCUUUAUCCAUCAAAUCCUGAAGCUGUGCCUUUAGCUCUCUCAGCUCUGCCGGCGCCAUCCGAUAAGGUACCUUUGAGAUUGGUGCAGUUCCAGGAACCACAUCAAUCACAAACUCAAUCUCCCUCUCCGGCGGCAACGUCGUCAACUCAGGGGGAAAUACAUCUGGAAACUCGCGGACUACUGGGAUGUCCUCAAGUCCCGGCGCCGCCGUAGGUACCUCCACAACAGUCGCUAGGAAAGCGAUACACCCGCUACUCAGCAUCUGUCGAGCCCUCGCCGAAGAUAUCCAGGUGGCAAAUAGCGUACUCCUGCAGCCUCUGAAUGUGAACUCUUCCUGACCUGGCUCGCGGAACGUCACCGUCCUCGCUCCACAGUCGAUCGUAGCAUAGUACCGCGCAAGCCAAUCCAUACCGAGCACGACGUCGAAGUCCUGCAGCUGCCCUAACACCAACAGGUCUGCGGGCAUGACCCACGAGUCCAACUGCACCGGACACGACCAACAACACUCCGCAACCUGUAAAACAUGGUCCGGGAUCUGCACCUCUCGUGCCUGUGACAAUGCCCCUAACUCUAGACCAUGCAACAAUGCAAAUGCUCGGCUAACAAAGGAAUGCGUUGCACCAGUAUCAAAAAGAGUGUGAACUCUAAUGCCAGAAAUCAAAGUGAUACCUGCCACCACUCGGUCGGCUGCUGUAGAGUCCUCCACCUGAGCUGCAUAGACUCUACCACUCGGAGCCUGCUGUCGACGCUCACUCUGUCGCGGCAUGGACGAUCUAUCAUCCUGGCGGUAACUCGGUGCUGCUCUAUAAGUCUGCUGAGGUGCUGGUGGAGCUGAAGCAGAUGAUGGUGCUGGAGAUGCUGCUCUGGGACAAGCUGCCCUCAUGUGUCCCGGCUGACCACAUCCGUAGCACCGGCCCUCCCUCUGCUCACACUGUCUGGGCCAGUGUGGUCCUCCGCAGAUCACACACUGCGGCGUCCUCUCUGGCUGUCCUCGCUGACGGAAGUCUCUGGAUCGCUGACGUCCCGAGAACCCACGACCCUGAGAACGCGAUCGUGGAGGUCUCGGCGGACGCCUGCUACUCGACUGUCCUCCGUCGUUUGGAGCUGGGCGCUUCCUGUCCUGACUCUGUCCCGGCCCCUGAGCCCUCUCUCGCAGUGACACCUCUCCUCUCUCCUCCCAUAGUGCCUGCUCAAUGGACGCGUCCAAAGUCCUCGACCUCUGCGCCCUAACAAACCUGAAUAGGUCGGGUGUCAAACCCUGCUCAAACAAGUAGACCCUAUGUGCCUCGUCUCUGGCCACGAACGGAACACAGUUCAAGAGUCUAGUAAACUCCCGAACAUACUCCUGAACUGUCCGCUCGCCCUGCUGGAUCCUCUUUAAAUCCUCCUCAAUCUUCUGUUUCAUGCUGUUGGGAAAAUACAUCCCAUACAGCAUUCCACAGAACUCAUCCGACCUCAGCUGUGCCGCCACUAGUCCCUGGUCUCGCCUCGCUCUCCGCCACCAAUCACGUGCAUCACCUGACAAACAAUGUACUCCCAAAGGUACCUGCUCCCCCUCUGGAACGUACAGAUCCUCGAAUAACCUCUCCAUAGCACUGACCCAUCCCUCAACAACCCAGGCCUCAGUGCCGCUGCCAUCGAAAGUAGGUGGAUCAAAUCAGCGGAAACGAGCCAACCUCUCCGUCCAUCGCUCCUGCUCGGCCUCUGUCAACUGUACGGGUCCCCUAGCAGGCGCAACUGGCGCUGUAGGAAGCUCCACUGGUGGGGGCAUAGCUGCGGCUGGAGCUGACACUGGAGUAGUCGGUGGGGGAACAGUAUGCUCUGGUAUACUCGGUGCUGAACUCGGUGACUGAGCUAUUCUCUCACACAACCUCUGCAACAACUCCCCCUGCUGCCUCGUCACCUCAGUCAGGGCAACCAACUGUGCACUUAGGUCAGGGGGUGCGCCAGCCUCAGGUUGCGCACUCGGCCCUACAACAGGGGGUGCACUCGCCUCCGGUCUGUCACUCUGCUCCUGCCGAGCACUCUGCUCCAUCUGCUCGGGUCUCUCAGAAGGUCCAGCACGAUCUCGCGCCAACUCGGCGCGCUCCCGUAACGAAGGUCGACCUCGGCGACGAUACAUAGCUGCAAAGAACAAGUCGGGGUCAGAUACAAUACAACACUCUCGACCCAAUCAACGAAAGUCUGGAAGGCGGUCCCUGUUUUCCUCCAAAAUUAUGUCGUCUGCAGCCAACAUAAUUUCUCAGGCCAAAACAGGAACUCCUUCAGUCACUCACUCCGCUUUAGGAGGAGUUAGAACAAAUAAUCAUCGACUUCCGCAAUUAAAUCACGCCUCUCGCGUCUUGCUUCCUAAGGUUUGCCAACUUAGGUUUCCUAGGUCCCAAUGACCUAUAGCAAAGCUCUGAUACCAACUUAAUCUGUCACGCCCCGGAUUACACGUUCCCCGGGCACGCCGACAAAUCCGCCGUAUACAAAGGAAUUUUCCCUGUAUACGAAGCGACAGCUGUACCUGUAAAACAUACAAUACUACAAACAGUAGUAUAGAGCUGCUAGAGAAAACAAAAGCUAAACAAAUUGAGUUUCAUAUAUAUAGCUCAAAUCCAAAAUACAGAGUUACUCGCACUGGCGAGUUAGGUAAACUAUAUACAUAAACUCGAAACAAAACAUCUACCUGCAGUAGGGGUGCCUCUAACUCUGCUCGUCAGGUAGGGCUCUAACUCGCGACGCUCUUGCCUCGAUCCUGAUCCGCAGAAGGCGCAGCAGCCGAAACCUGUGGCUCUGCAAAACAAGAGUAACAACUGGGCGUGAGAACUACUGUAAAAACAAGUAGUCCUCAGUGGGUACCGCCCAAAACAACAUCGGUCACCCACUAAGUCUACAGAAGGGAGCAAGAAUAGUAGGAAAAGCAGGAAGUACGCUCUACCGCUAUCAAUCACUACACUAUCAUGCUCUACACUAACCAACUGUAGAAAAUGUCAAUCUGACCCAAUCCAAUCGGGACUAUAAACAUACCCGUCCCUGGGACUGUGAACACACCCGUCCCUGCCCCGUUGCGACUAUCCAGCUACCUCCACACCAACUGGUCCGUGGAGAGCAAGUCCAACUGGCAUGAGCGACACCAACGCGAAAGCACAAGCCUGACUCCGGAGUGGCACUCGUGGGCGCUACCCAACCGAGUAUGCAGCGUAUCUCUGUCGAGCUCAAACAGGCUCCAACUAGCCAAAGUCAAGUAAUCGACUCAAAAUGGUCUAACAACCAACAGGUAAGUGCCCUCGGCACAAUCUGACGCCCAAAAAGGCGAUACGGGUCCACCGUCAACUCUGACGGCACCCAACAGUCCGAAACAACCUGAACGACCCUGUAAAAAUCCACUCGGCGGACGAGCACGAGUGUAAAUACAUUCUAAACUACCUGGAGUACUCGUCUCGAAUAACUGCGACAGUACAAUUUUCUAACGGCUCCUAGAGCUAAAUCAGGUAGUUAAAACUGGUGACAGGUCCAAAUCGUAGGUUUUCUCCUAAUUCAAUUUCCAAGUCCAAUAUGUAUGAUCUACUUAAUUUAUAAAAUAUGCUCCAAAAUUCAGAUUUCACAAUCUACAUAUAGUCCAUGAAUUUGAGCUAAAUUAAUGACCGAAAUCAAGAUCUAUACAUGUCGACCAAUAAUAACUUAGGAGUAAAGCCGAUG
rnacentral:lncRNA from 1 species